rnacentral:rRNA from 1 species
UUGACCUCAAAUCAGGUAGGACUACCCGCUGAACUUAAGCAUAUCAAUAAGCGGAGGAAAAGAAACUAACAAGGAUUCCCCUAGUAACUGCGAGUGAAGCGGGAAAAGCUCAAAUUUAAAAUCUGGCGGUCUUGCGGCCGUCCGAGUUGUAAUCUGGAGAAGCGUUUAUCCGCGUCGGACCGUGUACAAGUCUUCUGGAAGGGAGCGUCGUAGAGGGUGAGAAUCCCGUCUUUGACACGGACAACCGGUGCUUUUGUGAUGCGCUCUCGAAGAGUCGAGUUGUUUGGGAAUGCAGCUCAAAUGGGUGGUAAAUUCCAUCUAAGCUAAUAUUGGCGAGAGACCGAUAGCGAACAAGUACCGUGAGGGAAAGAUGAAAAGCAC